rnacentral:snRNA from 1 species
AUUUGAGGAGAAUGUGAAUUCC